CUACGGAGGGUGCGAGCGUUGUUCGGAAUUAUUGGGCGUAAAGAGCAUGUAGGCGGUCUGUUAAGUCUGGUGUGAAAGCCCGGGGCUCAACCCCGGAAGUGCAUUGGAUACUGGCAGACUUGAGUAUGGGAGAGGAAAGCGGAAUUCCGAGUGUAGGAGUGAAAUCCGUAGAUAUUCGGAGGAACACCAGUGGCGAAGGCGGCUUUCUGGACCAAUACUGACGCUGAGAUGCGAAAGCGUGGGGAGCAAACAGGAUUAGAAACCCCAGUAGUCC
rnacentral:rRNA from 1 species